GGCGGUCUUCGGUAGUGGCGGCCGGAUCUGACAUCCGACCGCUUCGAUCGACGGCCGUA
rfam:Mycobacterium sp. ACS4331 contig_112, whole genome shotgun sequence.